rnacentral:rRNA from 1 species
ACCGUUCUAAACUUAUUUUAAAGACUUAGGAUAAUUAGACCAAAGGCCUUCAAAGCCUUAAGCAGAAGUUAUAAGAGGUACUGCCUGCCCAGUGACACCUGUUCAACGGCCGCGGUAUUAUGACCGUGCAAAGGUAGCGUAAUCACUUGUCUUUUAAAUAAAGACCAGUAUGAAUGGCGAAACGAGAGCCAAGCUGUCUCUCCAAGCUAGUCAGUGAAAUUGAUAUUCUUGUGCAGAAGCAAGAAUAUUUUUACAAGACGAGAAGACCCUAUGGAGCUUUAAGCUGUAAAUAUGCAAACACUAAAAAUAAUUAUUANUACAGCUUUAGGUUGGGGCGACCACGGAGAAAAAUAAAACCCCCGAGAUGAAUAGCCAAGAAAAACACAUCAAAGCAACAAAAAUAUUGACAUAUUGACCCAAUAUUUGACCAACGAACCAAGUUACCCUAGGGAUAACAGCGCAAUCUUCUCAUAGAGUCCCUAUCGACGAGAAGGUUUACGACCUCGAUGUUGGAUCAGGGCCCCCAAAUGGUGCAGCAGCUGUUAAAGGUUCGUUUGUUCAACGAUUAAAGCCCUACGUGAU